AAUUUGGCUGCAAGCAAGGUUCUCUGGCCUUUACAACAAUUCUGUAGCCUGCAAAGUAGUCUUUUAAUGAACUCCUUUUCUGUUUAAUCCUCAGGGUCAGAGUGAGCAGUUACAAAUAAGAACUUUGACUAUAAUGUUAUAAAACUGGAAGACAUAAACCUGGGAAUUUCAGGGGCUCUGGCCUGAAGAUAGGCCAUUUGGAAACAAAGUUACAUAGAAGAAAGCAUGGCUAAGAGAUCAAGCGUUAGAGACAGAGUGAAAUUUGAUGAAUACUGGAUCCAGCCUUGCCUGAGCUAAUAUGAAUAGAUAUACUCAUCUUUUCUGAAAAGACUUUCUUCAUCCACAAAUGGCUUUGAUGCUAAUACCUUUAUUUAUGCCUGAUGGGAAUAGAUGAGAUCACUCAGGAAGAAUAUGUCAUGUGAAAACAGAAGAACUGGUUUGUACCGGACACAGAGGAAACAGUGCCUGCCAGGGAGAAGGGAGAGGAGUGCUAGAGAGGGAGGAGAAAGCCAGGAGAAAGGCCAAGGGGUAACUGUUUCUACAUGCAGAGCGUGAUAUUGUUUUAAAAAGUUCUAAGCCAAAAAGCCACCUCAAUUAUUACAAAGAAAGAAAUACCUUAGAAUAAGUAACCAGAAUAUUGUCUUGAAAACCAGAAAUAUUGAGCAAGAAAAGACUACGUGAGAAGGAAGUCACCAUCUUCGGUGGGGACCUUUCUCAGACAAUCUAUUCUUCCACAAUUCUCCUUGAGCAACCAAGAUAUUAACGGGGAAGACUUGAAGUUUCUAUGCUGCUUGAUCCAGAAUUUUCUCACCAUGGAUGUGGGGUUCUCACCUUUGAAGGUGGAAAGUGACACAACUGAAUGAUGAUUUUCUUGGUAACAUUUGGAAGGGCCACGAGAGCUGCUGGGAUUGGGCUUGCUGUGUUUCCUUGAUGAAUUUCACCUUUAAAGGAGCUUGCUGCAUGAGAGAGGCUGUCUUGCCUUUAAAUUCAUUCUUCAAGUUCGUCCCGGAGGGCAUCGUUUUUCCUGCCUUGAGGAAGCAACAACAAAUAACCCAGGAAAAACACUGCAUAAACAUGGCAUCCAAAGAGAGGAAGCAGAGACAUGAUGCACCAACUACUACUUUAGUAAUUGAAGAGAGAGAGAAGAGCCUGAAGUCAUUCAAUAAUUAGAUCAAAUAAUUUACUAAUGGAUCAUUUGUCUUCCCUUCCAAUCUUCCUUAGCAAGUUGGCUAAUUGCUCCAUGGUCACAAGAUAGCUGCUGAAUCUCUAGAAAUCAUUCCCAAGUCCCAUUCAGGAAGAAAAUAAAAGGGUGCAUUGGCUUUUUCUGUUUCCCUCUUCUCAGAACUCUCUCAGCAGACUUUCACUUACGUGUUAUAUAGUCCAGAACUGGAUGGCAUGGCUCCCCACCGUGUGCAAGGGAGAUUCAACAGGAUUUGGUUUUUCAGCCUCUGUUGGGAGAGACCAAGAGACAGAAGGAGACUGGGUAACACUGUCCACCGUAACCACUUAGUAUAGUGAUAACUCUGGGCAAAUAUUAAUUACUACUGGGCUAGUUGAAAGUUUCUGGGAAGCAAAUCAGUUGCUAAGCACAUGCUCUAUGAGAACCCAUAAUAUAAAUAAGAAGAAGAAAAAAGAAGGUUUAAAUGUUGGCUUACUUAGAGGAAUGCCUAGUUUCUUCUCUAUCACUGUGGUAACCACUAGGUUACAACUGUUACCUUUUCUCACAGAAAGACAAUUCCAAAACAGACCUCAAAUGAAAAUGCUACACAAAUAAUGGAUUAAUUGGGUACCAUUUCUACUCUUCUCAUCAUGUUUUACAAGCAGUUGAAAUAAUAUGUGCCCUUCCCAGUCCCUUUUUAGUAUUUGUCAGUAGAAUAGAGUGUCAAAAACGACUUACGAUGCCUAAAACAUUUAGAAAUUAAAAUAGCAUGUGGUGGUGCCAUGACCUUUUCAAUAUGCUGGUGUUUCAAUUGUUCAGCCAUUCCUCUUGUUCUUUUUCCUGACUGUUCUUUAUCAGAGGAAAAGGUAAAUUGGCACCUCAAGUAUGGAGUACUCAAAGGAACUAAACAGCACAUUAUUGAAACAAUUCAGAGGCAAUCCCGCAUAGCUUCCAAGUGCCAUGGAAACAAAAGAUGGUAACUUUAUUAAUUGUGAAAGGUUGGGGGAACGAAUUUAGUAUCUUGCUUUGCCAGUUUUCCUCUAGUGCACAGUAUAGUUUCCAGGACCUGCAUACAAACAUCAGUUCAUGAUCAAAAUGUGACCUUGCCUGUCCCGAUGAAUAAAACUAAUAAAUUCCCCAAUGAUAUGCUUAUUAUGCUUCUCUGAGGGAAGAUGGUUGCUUUCGUGUCAUUGUGGUUCCAUAAUAUCUCUUGGAAGGAGGCUUCUGAGGAUGCCCAAGCUGCUCCUCUGGGUUUCCCUAACACCCUGCAUGCGCUCAUCGUGUAGAAAUUGCCACAUAGCGUUACAGGUUUCUGUUCACUUAUUUCGUCUGCCCAGUGGGAAUGUGAUUUCCUGAAGAGCACCUAGCACAUGCCUAAAACACAAAAGGACUUCACUAAACAUUUGCUGAAUAACUACCACCUGUGCCAAGAAGCAGACCGGCUUCCGCUACAACUGACAGCCCUUCUCUCCUGCUAGUCAGAGAUUCUCUGUCUUGGAAGAGACUUUAGGAAACAGCAGACAUCUUGGAUGUGUGCCUGCCUGCAUUACCACCUUCUCCAGUUUUAUCCUAAAGCUGACUUCAGUACAGCUCUCCCCAAACUGUGGAAACUUUGGAUGACUACCUAAGAACUCCACAAACUCAAGCAGCUUUAAAGCCACUCUGCAACUUUCCUACAAUGAAAGAGGAGGCAGGUACCAUUCUCAGAUAAUACCGAUGAAUUCAGAAACCAAAAUAAAUCUGAAAAAAUGUAGUGCUUCACACUUACAUUUAUACCCUUCUCCCUUCUUGCUUUAUUCCCCAGAAGUGAGUAGCUCCUGAAACUGAUAGCCAAGAGAUGUUCAGGAAGAACCUGUCCCCAAACAGGUGUUUGCACACCCAAGUUAUGUAGGUGUCGGAGUAGAGCAUGUACUGAUAUGUGAAAUUAUAUAUUUAGCAAGAAGGAAACCCACUACUUUUCUAUCUGACUCCAUUAAAAAAGGAGAAUGAGGAAGCCAUAACACAUGUGACAGUGACUGAUAAAGCAUACUAUAUUGGCUGAGUGAGGCCCCUGGAAUGGAAGGGUGAAUUCCAGAUCUGCCACUUCGUAGCUGUGUGAUCUUGGUCACUUAACUUCUUUAAUCCUGGGUGGUCACAUAGGUAUUAGAAUAAAGAUAAUGACACGGCCUACAUCACAUGGGGUUGUUAGGAGAAUUAGCUGUAAUGUGCAGAGCUUGGCUAUUGGUGAAUUCUUAACAAGUAUUAGCUGUAACUAUCAGUUAUUAUUCUGUGACAAUGGCCUGCCAUUGCUCUUCCAGGAUACUGGAUAUUUAGAGUGGAGAGAGGGCAAGAGAGAGGAGAUCUGAGCUGCAGACCCAGCUCUAUGAAAAAAUAUUGAUAUGGUCUGGACCAUUCUUA